GCGAGAUGGCUUUCGGGGACUAUCCAGCUGAGUACAACCCAAAGGUGCAUGGGCCUUACGACCCUGCCCGUUUCUACGGCAAAGGUAUGUGAAUUCGCGAAAUUACGUA
rfam:Drosophila ananassae strain TSC#14024-0371.13 Ctg01_18818, whole genome shotgun sequence.